GAUGAACGCUGGCGACGUGCCUAAUACAUGCAAGUCGAACGAAACUUCUUUAUCACCGAGUGCUUGCACUCACCGAUAAAGAGUUGAGUGGCGAACGGGUGAGUAACACGUGGGCAACCUGCCCGAAAGAGGGGGAUAACACUUGGAAACAGGUGCUAAUACCGCAUAACCAUGAACACCGCAUGGCGUUUAUGUGAAAGGUGGUUUCGGCUACCGCUUUCGGAUGGGCCCGCGGGGCAUUGGCUAGUUGGUGGGGUAAAGGCUUACCAAGGAAAUGAUGCGUAGCCGAACUGAGAGGUUGAUCGGCCACAUUGGGACUGAGACACGGCCCAAGCUCCUACGGGAGGCAGCAGUAGGGAAUCUUCCACAAUGGGCGAAAGCCUGAUGGAGCAACGCCGCGUGGGUGAAGAAGGUCUUCGGAUCGUAAAACCCUGUUGCCAGAGAAGAAAGUGCAUGAGAGUAACUGUUCAUGUUUCGACGGUAUCUGACCAGAAAGCCACGGCUAACUACGUGCCAGCCGCCGCCGUAA
rnacentral:rRNA from 1 species